AUUGAACGCUGGCGGCAUGCUUUACACAUGCAAGUCGAACGGCAGCACGGGCUUCGGCCUGGUGGCGAGUGGCGAACGGGUGAGUAAUAUAUCGGAACGUACCCAAGAGUGGGGGAUAACGUAGCGAAAGUUACGCUAAUACCGCAUACGAUCUAUGGAUGAAAGUGGGGGAUCGCAAGACCUCAUGCUCCUGGAGCGGCCGAUAUCUGAUUAGCUAGUUGGUGAGGUAAAAGCUCACCAAGGCGACGAUCAGUAGCUGGUCUGAGAGGACGACCAGCCACACUGGAACUGAGACACGGUCCAGACUCCUACGGGAGGCAGCAGUGGGGAAUUUUGGACAAUGGGCGCAAGCCUGAUCCAGCAAUGCCGCGUGAGUGAAGAAGGCCUUCGGGUUGUAAAGCUCUUUUGUCAGGGAAGAAACGGUGGGAGCUAAUAUCUCCUACUAAUGACGGUACCUGAAGAAUAAGCACCGGCUAACUACGUGCCAGCAGCCGCGGUAAGAC
rnacentral:rRNA from 1 species